CGGGAUCGAGCCUGGAGAGGAAAAUAGCUCUCGUUUCCUUCCCCGCUAAGGUUUCCAACACACGCGACCCCUCUCUCUCUUUCCUAUCCUCUCCUUCAACCCCUGCCUCUUCCCUGCUGCUCCGCCGCCGCCUCUUUCUCCGCCAAAUACACUACAUGCCGCCGCCUAUGCCCGUGCCCUCUUCAUCUCCCAUCCCGAGCUCCACCUCCUCCAGCCUCAUAUCCCCUGAUCUUCCCGAUUUGGUUCACGGGAGCACACGGGAGGGAGUCUUCGAGUGGUGGCAGCGUCAGAUCCCUCCGUCUCGCGAGGCAGGGUCUCCUGUCCGUGCCACGAUGCCGCCGGCAUGGAGGCCCAGGCCGGGUAGCCGCCGCGGUAUCGGGUGCGCCGGUGAGGUCUCUGGGGACCGCGCAGUAGGGGACUGGCGCGGCUUCUGGUCGUUGGUUCCGGCGAUGCCAAGCCAAAGAUCUGAGUCGUAGAGCCGCAAGUAGCAGCUGGACAUCCAUCCGCCGACCCCGAUAGCAAGCUUCGGCCAUCCGCCACCCCCGAGCUCCAUCCGUCUGCUGCCCCCUACCCCAUCCGGCUGCCUCGGAGUCACAGCCGUGGAUAGCCCCAUCAGCCGCAACCUUCACCAGCCAUGCACAAACCUUCCGAAGACAAAUUUUAGCUAUGUUAUGCCUGACGAGUUAUCCAUGCUGUGAUAGCUCCAUGGGCCUGACGAGUUAUCCAUCAUCCAUGUAUCUACUAAGUUAUCUAUGACGCUUAACCAUCAUCCAUGUAUCUAUCUUUCUUAUUAGUACUCCAGAACUAAGUCUUGUUUGGUCAUCAAUUUGUUCUCUGUUGGCAUGUAAAUUCUGGAUGUUUUUUUUGGUUUCCUCCUAAUUUAGUCCUAGGAAUGAUACAGGUUGUCAAGUUUUAUGUUGUUGAUCUGCUUCAGGCCAUGCUUCUCUGUUUCUUGAAUUAUAAUUGUUUGCAGAAUAUUUUGUGAGAGUUCCUGAUACUUUUCCUUUCUUAAAGAAGCAAACACAUAUUGUUUUCUUGAAAAGAUUGACAGCUUGUACUUCAAAUUUACCGUAUGGUAGUCAUACUAAUUUCUGAACCAGCUUAAUAGUUUUUGUAGGACCAUAGCAAAGAAUUAUAGCACCAACCACUUUAUUUAACGAUAGAUUUUUUUAGCAUCUACUUGUUAUACUAAAAUAUCAUGGUUUUCUGAAUUUAAUAUGUAAACGUGUCACCAUCGGGCACGCAACUCUCAUCUCCACUCUCUGUCAUCCGCUAGGGAUGGAGGGGCUGCCGAAAUCCACCUCAUGGAAGAGGGGUAGGCAGAAGUAUGGCGGAUGUUCCACUCGACGCAAAGUUUUUUGAUCUGCCCGUCUUCAAGGGCGUGGAGUGACGGAGGUUGUCUCCCUCCUUCCACACGGUCGCAACAUCAGGAGAGGGUUCAACCCCCGUGUGGUUCUGCACCAAGGUCUGUGACGAGGGUGAUUGGUAGUUCACCCUUACUAUGGAUGAUUAGUGGAAGUAUGUAGCAAACAAGUGCUUACAGUAGGAACAUGAAAAGGCUGGCUUGAUGCAGUUAUGUACUGUAUCGGUUCUGAAUAACCCUACUUGUGCAGUUUCUGUCAAGAAUGGAAUCUAUGAGUUCUGGAACUGGUUUGAUGAUAGGACUUGGUAAGAGCCUCACAAACAGCUGAAUAAUUUAAUAAUGUGCAGGUUAUUUGUAAAGCAAAAACACAGUUAGAAUACAUGGCUGAAUUAUCUUCUGCUGCCUUUAUUUUGAGUAUCCCCUUGGUCGUGUUAUCGGUGACACUAUGUAUCCUGGGUUGACGUUUUGAUAGCUGGAAGCAUUUGGUGGCAUGUUACUGAAAAAUGUGCCUGAAAUAUUUGAUCGGUCUACUAAGUUGGUAAACGCUCUAAACAUCCAAGUGUUGGUGGAGAUCGUUUGCGUGUUACUGCUCCAAUUUUCUCAGCAAAUGCUUUGUGGGCUACUUACCUCUUGACAAAGGUUGUUUUUUCACAGAAGCAUGUAUUCUCACAGUAGCCAGAGUGUAUCAGUUUUUUAUCUGGUAAUUCUGUUCUCAUUAAUGUUAAUUUUUCUGUAGGAAGCAAAGGGCACUGGAGCUGGAUAGAUGCCAGCAGCCAUUCUGGCAAUGGUAAAUUGCACUUUAUUUAUAUAUGUUUUCAUUUUCAUAUGCCAUGGUCUAAGUGGAAAUAUAAAUACUUCUCGAUGAAGCUAGGGAUGCCAUUAAGUAGCUUUAGCUUUACCUAUCUUUGGGUGGGAACAUUGCACUCUUUAACAACGAAAGAGAGGGCGAGAGGUGAUCCUUCUGCUCUUUACUUGUGAAUCUCUAUUUCUUACUAGCUCAGGGAACUUGCACCCAACAAAUUAAUGGAUGAUCUUGCAAACCUCAUCAAGUAUAUUUGUAGUUAAACUGUGAAUUUGAAAACAAAAAAAUUGUACAUUUGUUCAUGUUAAAUUUAGAUGUGUUCUUGGGCAAUAAUCGAUGGUAGAUAAUACAUGAUGAGGGAUGGCCUUUAUUGCUACAAUUACUUUUCCUAUCCGUCCUUAGUUUCUUGGAUGUAUAUUAGUUUCUGUUUGCCGGACGCGGAGUAACUGUGCACGAGCUCAAAUGCUCUCGUUAUCCACAGCGUUGGCUGGCGCCUAUGGAUGUGUGCGAUUAUUUUAUACUACCGCUGUUGGUCGUUUAGAAAUCGAGUACUGUUCUGGAAUACGUACACGGCAGCGGUAUACACUGGGCCAGGUUUAACGAUCGGGAUGACGAAAGUUUGCCGCCGGGGAGCUGUUCCAUGGAUCAGAAUCGGAGCCGCCGUCUGAUCCGUGGAUCAGGAAGUUCGCUUUACCGUCCGGCCGGCCCUGAGUCAAAUUGAAUGCAGGGUCCAACGUGUUCUUUUGCAAGGCGAGUGGUGGUUUGAAGGUAACGAGUGGGAGAUAGAGAUUCGGAGCGGCGGCGGCGAUCCAUGGAGCUUUUUGUGCAGCCGAUCGGCAGAUACGCGGAUGCUUUCUUCGCCGCGCGAGCUUGUCUAGCGCAUCUGAGUUAGCUUCUUGACUAUGAUUUGCUUUUCCCCAUGAUUUAGAUCUGCUCUUCUUGAGGGGGUAGGAGAGUCUGGUGCCUCCCCCAUGUAGUUGUGAAUGGCGGUGGUGGCGGAGCAAGCGCUGCCGGAGCAGCAGAUGGCGGCCGAGAGCGGCGAAGCACAGAUCUUGGCGGCGGCGGAGGCUGCAGCGGGCAGAAGGGAAAGCUCCCCUCCAAAGUCCGAGCUCUCGACGGGGAAGAGGAAUCCCCUGGCGCCCGGAUGGAAUCAGAGAUGCAAAGGCUGAGGAUUGGUGCUGCUGCACCAAGCAUGACACCGUGUCCCGAAUCGAAUCAGUGCGUUCGAGAAGGCUGUAAGAUGUUUUGCAGAGAAGCCUGCUGAAAAUGUUCUUGGUACUACAUUUGACUCCUUGGGCGAGGCUUAUGACUUCUACAAUCUGUAUUCAUGGGAAAAAUGUUUUGUCAUUCGCUACGGGAAGAGUCGGCCAAAUGUGGAGUGGGUAAAAUGCAUACAGGAAAUAGUCUGUGGCUGCUCGGGUAAAGCUGGUGUAGACUUCUACGGGCAGAAGAUAAUGGGCGGUAUAUUGCAGAGCAUAGAGAAAAUCAUAAGCACUCACUUUCGCCUAAUUUUGCUGACAAAAUCCAUUGUCCAUCACAUAAGCAUAUUGACGUGUACCUGAGAGAUCUCAUAAAGCAACUCAGGCAAAACAAUGUGAAUCUGGGCAAGGUUUAUAGUAUCAUAGGUGGCAUUUUCGGUUCAAUGGAGAAUGUUCCCUUCACCAAAAGGUCAUUGCGAAAUCUGUGUGGGCAGAUAAACAGGGACCAAGCGGAUGAUGAUGUGAGGAAGACAGUGGAAGUUUUUGCAGACAUUGGAGCCACGGAUCUGCAUUUCACAUACUGGGUUCAGGCUGACACUGAGGGCAGGAUCAAGAACCUUAUUUGGGCAACUGGUACCAGAAGGUUGCAGUACAUAUUUUUUUGGAGACGUGAUAACAUUUGACACCACAUACAGGACCAACCUGUAUGAUAUGCCUUUCAGGUUGUUUGCUGGAGUCAACAAUCAUUUCCAGAGUGUGAUAAUGAUGGGCGUGCUAGUCCAGGAUGAGACAAAAAAGAGUUUCGACUGGCUAUUCUUGGAGUUCGUCAGAAUGAUGGGUGGAUCUCCACCAGUCACCAUACUCACAGGGUUGACCACUACUGAGAGCGAACCUUGCAGUGGAGAGGCAUGCCAGCAAGAUAUACACGAGGGCUAUGUUUGAGCAUUUUGGACACAUUUUGUAUGAGUGCGGGGCUUUUCAGGUUGAAGAGAUUCAAAAACAUAAGACAUACAUCACGAUCUAUAGUGAAGCAGAGAAAAGAGAGAAGUGGUCGAAAAUUUCAUACAAGGUUACAAUGCUUGGGCAAUGAAUUCGACUGCGAGUGUGGGAAAUUUGCACACAUGGGCCUGCUGUGUAGCUAUGUACUGAAGGUGCUCGAUUUCAUUGGGGCUAAAGAAAUACCAGCUAAGCAUAUAGUGAAGAGAUGGACGAGGGAUGCUUGCGACGUUCUGCCACCUCAUUUGAUACAAUGCCAAAAGGACAGCAUACAGAACAACCCUUUAUCGUACAGACACUUCAUGAUGUACUUGCACGCCAUGGAUCUAGUCAGGCUGGGCGACACUAGCAUUGAAGCCUACAAUCGGUUGCUGUAGUUGUUCAAGUCCAACUUGAUAGUGAUGGUACCCUAUGUAGAAGUUAGGGAUGGUCUUGGCCAGACUGGCGGACAGUGGUGCCGUAAAUCAGAGCCCCAUGGAGAUGGUUGCAGUGGAACAAAACAUGAUCGUUGAUGGAGGUACUGCUCAUUUAGUGGACAAUGAUUCUGUGUCCAGGAUAAGCAACAUGUUGGAAGGACUACUGGCUCCAGCAAAAUAGAAAGAUAUGGGACGGCCAAUGACAAGUAUGGAGAAGGCUCCAUAUGAAGUUCUAAGCAAGAGGACUAGGUUUUGCAUAAUUUGCAGAAAGCAAGGGCAUAAGCGAACUACAUGCCCUGACCCUGGUGAUGUCCCCAAGCAACCUUCGAAGCCUGCCAAAUGCAAGAACUAUGGCGUCGAGGGGCACCGACGAAAUCAUUGUAAUAAAGCAAUGGAACUAAGGCUGGCACCUGGCAAAUGGAAUGUAGAAGCUGAUGUGGCUCAUGAUGUCUUUCAGUUAUCUUAUUUGCUAUUGAGGCAUAUGAAUGUAGGUAUCAUGUUUUAGCUUCGGUGUGAUCAGACCGUGGUUACUUUCCAGACAGUGCAUGAGUAAUAUAAUAUACGGAGUAUGUCAGAUUGUCGGACCCUUCCCCAGACCCUGCGCAAGCGGGAGCUACAUGCACUGGGGCUGCCCUUUUUUUAGUAUGUCAGAUUGUGUCACUGCUUUUGUUCCAAAAUGUUGGCUUGUCCCCAGGUUUUGAUGAAUUUGUGUGCAUGCUUUUGAAGGUAAAACCUUGGCCUGUUGGUGCAGCGGGAGUGGCUGAAUUGUUCUGAUUCGUUAUCUGAAAACUUGUACACUCCUGAAUAUUGAAAGAGAUGCAGAUGUGUUCUCGUUCGCUAUCUGAUUUCUGGAUUGUAAUCUAAGUUCCGGCCGUCGAUGCUUCACAGCAGGUAAACUGUUUGGCAUGAUGUUUUCGUAUGUAAAAAAAAUCCCCCAUGUAAAUGCCCCAUGACGCCGGCGAGCUUGUGUUUGAGCGGAGAAGGAGAUGGAGGCAUCAGGCAGCGGUGUAUUUGCUUCCGUACUCACAUGGCUCACCAGAUAUGCCUUGCCGGCGAUCAUCAACGAGCUUUCAGGGGGGAAGAGCUGUGUGAACCAGGUAGCAGAAAAUGAAUCUGAAGACACUGCAGAUUUGGUGGUGUCCUACGGAUCAUUUGAGAGCUCCUUCUCGAACGUCGCUGGAUUGGUCUCAGAUGAAGAUGAAUCAUAUGAAGAGCAGCCGCGCUUGCAGGCUUACAUGGAGGCGGAUCAUGGUGGUGAAGAAAGGACUGGCGACUAUGAUCCAUUUGGAGCCGCAGGGACUGAAGACCUGAAUGCCCUUGUUGGUGAAGAGGGAGAAGAUGGAGACAGAGGGGAACGAAUCUUCGGGAGGAAGGGACGAUGGGUUUGCCACAAUAAAUGCCUUAGUUGGAUGGAUCCCGUUAGAUGACUCACUUCUGAGCCGUGGGACAUGUAGUGCGGUCGCUUCUGAUCCGCCUCGCGGGCGGUGACAAUGUUCGCAUUAAAAGCGGUGGUUGAGUGGGCCAAGGGCUCUGAAAAGGCAGCAUAUACUACUUCAUAUACGAUGAGAUAUACCAAAGCUGGUGCGAAUCUAGGCGUGAGCUGAUGGCUAAGAUAUAGAGCUCAUCUGAGCUCGAGCUCAGAAUAGUACUUCCGCUGUUUGCCCCCUUUCUUUUUAGGGAAAGUUUUCUUACUGCCACAACUUGGUUGUUCUAACAUGACAAAAUAUUGGAUUUAUUAUCCUGCUAAAUACUGGAUGCUAGCUCAUUUUACUUCAGCUCAUAAGGAAAGGGAUCUGUAUGCAAAGCGUGUCAUGGGACAAAGCGUGUCAUGGGACGAGCAAGGAUGAGAAGCACUCCGUACACAACCACAAUUGAUGGGAUGACGGGACUUGAGGUUUGCACCAGAAUCAAGCAUCAGUUCAAUGGGAACUGGAAUGAUGAAAACAUUUGUCGUGCCUCGGAGUGUGGCGCCAAAGAGAAGGACGAGCAGUCAAUGGUGUCUUCGUCUUCGCCGGUCGCGCUGGUGUGUCAUUCCUUUCCCUGCUCCGCCGCCUAGGAUACUCCACCACCACGGGAUUCGAGUACGGCCUUGCCUUGGAUGGGUUGAGGAUGAUCAGUACGUCUGGAUUUUACCAUCCUUCUUGGAUGUGAUUUCCAUUCGGUUUUUCCUCCUUGUUUAGCUUCUCUUCUAUGCAUGGUGUAUAUGCCCUUCGGAGGAUUGUGUUAAUGCAUCAAA